UACAGAGGGGGCAAGCGUUGUUCGGAAUUACUGGGCGUAAAGGGCGCGUAGGCGGUCGGGUAAGUCUGAUGUGAAAUCUCGAAGCCUAACUUCGAAACUGCAUUGGAUACUAUUCGGCUAGAGGAGUGGAAGGGAGACUGGAAUGCUCGGUGUAGCAGUGAAAUGCGUAGAUAUCGAGCGGAACACCAGUGGCGAAGGCGAGUCUCUGGACACUUCCUGACGCUGAGGCACGAAAGCCAGGGGAGCAAACGGG
rnacentral:rRNA from 1 species